UACGUAGGGGGCAAGCGUUGUCCGGAAUCAUUGGGCGUAAAGCGCGUGUAGGCGGCUCGAUAAGUCUGCUGUGAAAGUCCAGGCUCAACCCUGGGAUGCCGGUGGAUACUGUCGAGCUCGAGUCCGGAAGAGGAGUGUGGAAUUCCUGGUGUAGCGGUGAAAUGCGCAGAUAUCAGGAGGAACACCGGUGGCGAAGGCGGGUCUCUGGGCAGUAACUGACGUGAGGAGCGAAAGCGUGGG
rnacentral:rRNA from 1 species